AGGACGAACGCUGGCGGCGUGCUUAACACAUGCAAGUCGAGCGGAAAGGUCCUUCGGGGUACUCGAGCGGCGAACGGGUGAGUAACACGUGGGCAAUCUGCCCCUAGCUCUGGGAUAACUCCGGGAAACCGGGGCUAAUACUGGAUAUGACCUUUCCUCGCAUGGGGUUGGGUGUAAAGGGUUUCUGGCUAGGGAUGGGCCCGCGGCCUAUCAGCUUGUUGGUGGGGUAAUGGCCUACCAAGGCGACGACGGGUAGCCGGCCUGAGAGGGCGACCGGCCACACUGGGACUGAGACACGGCCCAGACUCCUACGGGAGGCAGCAGUGGGGAAUCUUGCACAAUGGGCGAAAGCCUGAUGCAGCGACGCCGCGUGAGGGAUGACGGCCUUCGGGUUGUAAACCUCUUUCAGCAGGGACGAAGCGCAAGUGACGGUACCUGCAGAAGAAGCACCGGCCAACUACGUGCCAGCAGCCGC
rnacentral:rRNA from 1 species